CUGGUUAGAAUCGGAGGUGUUGAAGGCGAUCUUGUGAAGCGAGCUUUAGCGGCUUUGAUUCGGCCUUCUUCUCAUCAACAACGGCGCAGAGGCGAUUUUAAGCCAAAGAGUAGCCGGCUCUCGAUUAUGUCCAAGGCCGUAGAAACAUUAUAAUGAUUUCGGUAUGUUGAAAUUGGAAACAACUCUGUGAUUAGUAAUUACCUAAUCUCCGAGUUUCCGGAGAUGAACUUCUCCUGAUCUCAGAUGGCGGUGGCGGGAACGGUAUCAAGUUCCGACGAAUCAUACGGACCUGCGUUCUGGACGGUACUAUCUUUUCCUCUUCGGAGACCGUGACGGACAUUAUUCAUCACUAAGAACUCUGGAAAUCACCUUUGUACAAAUUAAUAUGUUAUACAGAAUAUGAAUUUGUUUGUGUUCGUCGACAAUCGGCGCUCAGACCUCAAAUUGCGAUAAAAUCCAGACACCGAUACCAAAUUAAUCAAACUCGCAUGAAUUAAAAAGGUCUAAAAUCUCACUGAUCGGACUAGACGGAGAUUUAGGGUUCGGAAAAUCCUCUCCAUUAACAGAUUUCCUCUGUUGCAUUCUCUGUUCGUGCAUUCCGUUAUCUCCGCCGUGUAAUCAGACGGUUUCUGUCAAUACCUUUCGCUUUCAUUGGCGUGGGCGGCGAGUGAGUUAUAGAUAAGCGUAAGGCAGUGAUGAGCCUAUUUCACCAGCGUGCUACCGCCAUUUGAUUGGUUGCUUAGUGCUUGCUUUUUGCCUGGAAGAGGAUCGAGGUGUGUAGGGAUUGCAUCGGAUUUGGUUGAUUUUUUUAAUUGAGUUGGGUUAUUUGGUUAAUUAUUUUAAAUUAUUUAAAAAUUUUAUGUUUCAAUAAUACAUACGGCUAAUCUAAGGAAU